UUUGCGAAACCCAAGGUGCAUGCCGAGGGGCGGUUGGCCUCGUAAAAAGCCGCAAAAAAAUAGUCGCAAACGACGAAACCUACGCUUUAGCAGCUUAAUAACCUGCUUAGAGCCCUCUCUCCCUAGCCUCCGCUCUUAGGACGGGGAUCAAGAGAGGUCAAACCCAAAAGAGAUCGCGCGGAUGCCCUGCCUGGGGUUGAAGCGUUAAAACGAAUCAGGCUAGUCUGGUAGUGGCGUGUCCGUCCGCAGGUGCCAGGCGAAUGUAAAGACUGACUAAGCAUGUAGUACCGAGGAUGUAGGAAUUUCGGACGCGGGUUCAACUCCCGCCAGCUCCACCA
rnacentral:tmRNA from 1 species